GAUGAACGCUGGCGGCGUGCCUAAUACAUGCAAGUCGAGCGAACAGACGAGGAGCUUGCUCCUCUGACGUUAGCGGCGGACGGGUGAGUAACACGUGGAUAACCUACCUAUAAGACUGGGAUAACUUCGGGAAACCGGAGCUAAUACCGGAUAAUAUAUUGAACCGCAUGGUUCAAUAGUGAAAGACGGUUUUGCUGUCACUUAUAGAUGGAUCCGCGCCGCAUUAGCUAGUUGGUAAGGUAACGGCUUACCAAGGCAACGAUGCGUAGCCGACCUGAGAGGGUGUUCGGCCACACUGGAACUGGGACACGGUCCAGACUCCUACGGGAGGCACCAGUAGGGAAUCUUCCGCAAUGGGCGAAAGCUUGACGGAGCAACGCCGCGUGAGUGAUGAAAGUCUUCGGAUCGUAAAACUCUGUUAUUAGGGAAGAACAAAUGUGUAAGUAACUAUGCACGUCUUGACGGUACCUAAUCAGAAAGCCACGGCUAACUACGUG
rnacentral:rRNA from 1 species